UACAGAGGGUGCAAGCGUUAAUCGGAAUUACUGGGCGUAAAGAGUGCGUAGACGGUUAUGUAAGUCGGGUGUGAAAGCCCCGGGCUCAACCUGGGAAUGCCAUUCGAGACUGCAUAGCUAGGGUGCGGAAGAGGGAAGCGGAAUUUCCGGUGUAGCGGUGAAAUGCGUAGAUAUCGGAAGGAACACCAGUGGCGAAAGCGGCUUCCUGGUCCAGCACCGACGUUCAGGCACGAAAGCGUGGGGAGCAAACAGG
rnacentral:rRNA from 1 species